rnacentral:lncRNA from 1 species
UUCGUUCUUAAGCAAGAAUUGACCAAAUCUUGUUGUUUGGAAAACCGCAUGAAGGUUGGUCUGGACUUGACAAUUGAUGCUAAAAGGCAAUUGGAUCAGAUUUCUAAAUUGUCCUCCAUGAUUGAUAUUUAAAGACUUGAUUUUUCCAUGCAAACUGUGGUUCUCAUCUGGUGCAAACUAGUAUUCUACUAAGCAAGAAGAAAGUUAAUGCAUUUACUGAUCAACUACAACUUUAGAGUCGACCCUUUUCCAGUAACACUCUAAUGCCUACACUCGCAGAAUAAUUUCAUGAAAAACUAACUGAGGCUGUUGGUGAACUAUUGAAGUUGGUGCUCUGGUUGAUUUAAGAACUCUCCUUACAACAGAACAACACAUGUUUUUUAAUUCUUUUCUUUUUCUGUAAUUGUUUGGAAUAGAGGGUAAUUUAUUUGGAAACUGUUGCGAACAGGACAUCCCAAUAAAAUGUGUCUACGCAGUUAAGGUGUGCUGUGCUUUUGCGGCAAUUGAGACUUGCAAAUUUAACUUGCAUUUGUACCCUAGCCACUUGUCUUCCAACAAAGUCAUCAGCUUAAAAGGAAUGACAAGUCUUUAUAUGGUUCAAUAGAUCUUCAUAGAAUUUUCGUAUUCCAAUGGCUUCUACAUUUUUUCUGUUCCUCGGACAACUAACCAAAUCGUGGCUAACAGAUCAUAGCAUGUCAAAGUCUAAUUGUUUUUCCUAGGCCAUGCAAGAGGAAUUGACAAGAAAAGCAGCAGAUCUUGCAUUGGAGAACGAAAAUUUGAAGAAGGUAUGUGGAAUAUCUUUGCUCAUAUGUUUCUCUUCCAUUCGGAAUAAGUUCCCUAACUUUGAGAGUAACUUAGUCCAAUGCACAAAGUUACUUUAGGAUCAUUAUCUCUGCCAUAGUCAU